UCAACUAUAUAUAGUAGAGUUUCACUAAUCUAGCACUAUUAAAAACUUGCAGGGGAGGGGGUUGUAUGGUAGGUUGCCUAAUUAUUGGAAUGUUUGGAUUACUGGAAUAUAUAAAAAGAGGGAGAAUACAACAUCCUUCAAGUUCAAUUCUAUGAGAUACUGCUUUACGACUCCACUCUGAGGAAUAAUAUAAAAACGCAACUAGUUGAAAUGGAAGGGUUCCAUUUAUUUCUAUUUUCUGUUACAAAUUGGUGUGACUCUUUCAGUAUUCAGUUCAUUUCUAUGAGAGCUUCCUGAUCUGCUUGGUAAACGUGGCAGCGAGGAGAAAUCGUUUUGCUUUACCAAGUCUCAUUAAAAACGUGCAGUAGCCACAGUUUACAGAGUAACAGAUGACAUUUCAUUGAGAAAUUGACGGAAAAAGAUAUUCACAAGUUUUAAUCCAAGAAAUUGCAAAGUAUCCUGUUUCAUAUAAUUAUAAAUAAGCCUAAUACUUUAGAAAUUACGUCACUGAGGGAAUAUGGAGUGAUAUAUCAAAUAAAAUACAAAUGACAGUACCAAACACAUCGAUCCCGUACCACUACUAAAACCGAUAAAUCAGUAAAAGAUCUCUCCAAUUUGGAUAAUUAAUCACAGAAAUAUAUUCGCUACAAAUCUUCUAAGGUUUUUACACAGCCGCCUUUAUUAGAUAACCUGGACAGCCUGAUUGAGAAAUUCAGUUGAAUAAGUUUUUCCUAAAGAUGAAGAGCUGAAGCCUCUAUGGAUAAAAGCAAUCCCAAGAAUAAAUGUCAUUUCUACCCCUCUUAGCUCAUUUUGAGAAAAACCUUUUUAGAGAAAAUGAUAUAAUUAAGGAUGAUAAACAUUUGAAAUCGGAUGGACCUAUCCAAAUUUCAUCAUUGAAAUAUAAAUUAUUUGAACUUCAUCUUUGUAGCAUUGAAUUGGACUUCUCUUAUUCAGAAUUUACAGAAAAUUGCAGUUGUGGUUUGAAUGGUAAAUCAAUUUUAAAUUUACUUUGUUCUGUUUUCGCGAAUUUACUAUUAAAAAAUUAAGCAAAAAAUAAAAGUAAUAAUGUAAAGAUAUACAAAUAGAAUAGAAAACUUUU